rnacentral:rRNA from 1 species
GAUGAACGCUAGCUACAGGCUUAACACAUGCAAGUCGAGGGGAAACGACAUCGAAAGCUUGCUUUUGAUGGGCGUCGACCGGCGCACGGGUGAGUAACGCGUAUCCAACCUGCCCACCACUUGGGGAUAACCUUGCGAAAGUAAGACUAAUACCCAAUGAUAUCUCUAGAAGACAUCUGAAAGAGAUUAAAGAUUUAUCGGUGAUGGAUGGGGAUGCGUCUGAUUAGCUUGUUGGCGGGGUAACGGCCCACCAAGGCAACGAUCAGUAGGGGUUCUGAGAGGAAGGUCCCCCACAUUGGAACUGAGACACGGUCCAAACUCCUACGGGAGGCAGCAGUGAGGAAGAUUGGUCAAUGGACGAGAGUCUGAACCAGCCAAGUAGCGUGCAGGAAGACGGCCCUAUGGGUUGUAAACUGCUUUUAUAAGGGAAUAAAGUGAGUCUCGUGAGACUUUUUGCAUGUACCUUAUGAAUAAGGACCGGCUAAUUCCGUG